AUUGAACGCUGGCGGCAGGCUUAACACAUGCAAGUCGAGCGGAGAUGAGGUGCUUGCACCUUAUCUUAGCGGCGGACGGGUGAGUAAUGCUUAGGAAUCUGCCUAUUAGUGGGGGACAACAUUCCGAAAGGAAUGCUAAUACCGCAUACGUCCUACGGGAGAAAGCAGGGGAUCUUCGGACCUUGCGCUAAUAGAUGAGCCUAAGUCGGAUUUGCUAGUUGGUGGGGUAAAGGCCUACCAAGGCGACGAUCUGUAGCGGGUCCGAGAGGAUGAUCCGCCACACUGGGCCUGAGACACGGCCCAUGCUCCUACGGGAGGCAGCAGUAGGGAAUAUUGGACAAUGGGGGGAACCCUGAUCUAGCAAUGCCGCGUGUGUGAAGAAGGCCUUAUGGUUGUAAAGCACUUUAAGCGAGGAGGAGGCUACUGAGACUAAUACUCUUGGAUAGUGGACGUUACUCGCACAAUAAGCACCGGCUAACUCUGUGCCAGCCGCCGCAGUAACAC
rnacentral:rRNA from 1 species